rfam:Pristionchus pacificus strain PS312 contig11917, whole genome shotgun sequence.
UCUUCAUCUCGCACACUCUCUCACCAGUCAGAGGGACGAGAGAGUGUGUGAAAUGAAGAGA